rnacentral:rRNA from 1 species
AUUGAACGCUGGCGGCAGGCCUAACACAUGCAAGUCGAGCGGUGCGACGGACGGGCGAGUAAUGCCUAGGAGGCUGCCUGGCAGAGGGGGAGAAGGUACGGAAAGGGGCGAUAAGACAGAACACUUCUAGCUGUGACUACAUCGGCUGAGCUAGUUGGUAGGGUAAAGGCCUACCAAGGCGACGUACCGUAUCUGGUAUGCAAGGAUGAGCAGCCACACUGGAACGUAGACACGGUCCCGACUCCUACGAGAGGCAGCAGUUGGGAAUAUUGCACAAUGGGCCAAAGCCUGAUGCAGCCAUGCCGCGUGUGUGAAGAAGGUCUUCGGAUUGUAAAGCACUUUAAGUUGGUAGGCGUUACCAACAGAAUGAGCACCGGCUAACUUCGUGCCAGCAGCCGCGGUCAUUC